GCCAAAAAUCUAGCCCAACUUUAUUUUAUAUCCCCUAAUACCUCAAUUUAUUAAUCAAAACAUUUUAACAAUUAAGUAGAGGCGAUUGAAAAAUUAAUAGGAGCAAUAUAUAUUGUACCGCAAGGGAAAAAUGAAAUAGAAAUGAAAUAAUAAUAAAGCACAAAAAAGUAAAGAUUAACUCUUGUACCUUUUGCAUCAUGAUUUAACUAGUCUACACAGGCGAAACGAUUUUAAGUCUGUCCCCCCGAAACUAAGUGAGCUACUUCAAGACAGCUUAAUGAGCAAAUCCGUCUCUGUUGCAAAAGAGUGGAGAGAUCUUCAAGUAGAGGUGACAGACCUAACGAACUUAGUAAUAGCUGGUUAUUCGAGAAAAAGAUAUUAGUUCAACCUAAAGUCAAAUUAAUUAUUAAAAAUAAAAACUCCGACCUUAGAGCAAUUCAAUUAAGGUACAGCCUACUUGAAACAGGAUACAACCUUAACUAAUGGGUAAUCUUAUUAAUUUUCGUCUUUAAGUGGGCCUAAAAGCAGCCACCUUUCAAAUAGCGUCAAAGCUUAACUACCUAAUUAUUUAAUACCAAAAACAUAUUUUAACCCUUUACCCCUAUCGAAUAAUUCUAUAUUACUAUAGAAAUUUUUAUGUUAAAACUAGUAACAAGAAUUAAAUUUUCUCUAUAAUGUUAGUGUACAUCAGAAAGGAUAAACCACUGAUAAUUAACCUGUCUGAGUAAAAAGUGGUAACUUAACAAGAAAACCCCCCUAACUCCAAUGUUAAUCUAACACAAGUACAUUUAAAGAAAGAUUUAAAGAAAAAGAAGGAACUCGGCAAACAUUAACCUCGCCUGUUUACCAAAAACAUCGCCUCUUGUUUAAAUAUAAGAGGUCCAGCCUGCCCAGUGACUCUGUUCAACGGCCGCGGUAUCCUAACCGUGCGAAGGUAGCGUAAUCACUUGUUCUUUAAAUAAGGACUAGUAUGAAUGGCACCACGAGGGUUAUACUGUCUCCUUUUUCUAAUCAGUGAAACUAAUCUUCCCGUGAAGAAGCGGGAAUUUUUAUAUAAGACGAGAAGACCCUAUGGAGCUUUAGACAAAUAACAACUACUAAUUUUUAUAAUAUUUCAGAUAAUUAAACUAUAGCCUAGUAUUAUGAUUAUAAGUCUUUGGUUGGGGUGACCGCGGAGUAAAAAUUAACCUCCACAUUGAAAGAAUACUAUUUCUAAGCAAAAAGCCACAUCUUUAAGCAUCAACAAAUUGACAUCUAUUGAUCCAAUAUUUUGAGCAACGAACCAAGUUACCCUAGGGAUAACAGCGCAAUCCACUUCGAGAGCUCUUAUCGACAAGUGGGCUUACGACCUCGAUGUUGGAUCAGGGUGUCCAAGUGGUGUAGCCGCUACUAAAGGUUCGUUUGUUCAACGAUUAAAACCCUACGUGAUCUGAGUUCAGACCGGAGUAA
rnacentral:rRNA from 1 species